UGAUUUUUUUUCUUUGUGUUGAAGCGGGUCUGGAGCGGUGGAUUGUCCACGGGAUCCGGAUCGGGAGAGGGUACUCGCCCCCUCGGGCGGCGAGCCGGGGGGGCCGGUCGGAUCAUUCUCUGCGGAGCGGGACCGACAAGAUCCAUGCGUUAGACCUGUGGUGAGAGAUUUAUUGGAAGAAAAGCCCACAACUGGAAGCAAACCACGACUGAAGACGAGGAAACAGCAACAAGUGAACCAGCCCGAGGACUGAGAGCAUCAACUGGAGAGAACCCAUCUGACUCGGAGAUUCCACUGAUUCAGUCAGGAGAAAGUUUGUUAGAUCUCCGGUGAGAGGGUUAUUGGAAGAAAUGCCCACAACUGGAAGUGAACCAGAACUGAAAACGAGGCAACAGCAACAAGUGAACCAGCCCGAGGACGGAGAUCAUCAAUUCGACAGAACCCUUCUGACUCAGAGUUUCCAUUGAAAGUCAGGAGAAAGUUUGGUCAUUGCCAGCAGGUGAGGCUUUCUUCCACCCGGACGUCAGACAAGCAAACGACAAUCAACCAAAGUCAGUCAGAGUUAGAAUGGACACAGGUAUGUUCACUGGGCUCUUUCUCAUUAAAUCUGUCAUCAUGGUACACGUGUAGUCAAAUCAUCAAUAAUUCAGAGGGAUAAACUUGGCCGACAAAGGGGCAGAGAGAAAGUACCAUCAAACGGAGUCAUUGUUCCAACUGGUAAGGAGUCCAUGAGCAUUGGAACAAUUCACCAGGUCCAGCGCAGGGACCUAACGAGGGGAAUGAUCGAAUCGCUCCGCUCACCACACAGAUCUUCACCUGAGUGAAAGGAGAAGGAGCCCCUAAAUAAGGUGGCUGUGGGUAAAACUCAGACAGGAAUACAACAGCGGGCAAUGUAACAGUCGAGAGAACAGAUAGAAUUUCCGUCAGCAUUUGGUAAGGCCUGAUGUGGGAAAUGCCUCCGACAGCCAGUGAGAGAAACAGAAGUUGUUUUCUGUUUGGAAGGGCAAUGUAGAAUUCUCCCCAGAUUAACGGGUUGUUGCACAAUGGAGGUGAGGGGAGUCCCCGGUGUUUGUUUUCUGUGGCCGAG